rnacentral:rRNA from 1 species
CCUGCACGAAUGGCGUAAUGAUGGCCAGGCUGUCUCCACCCGAGACUCAGUGAAAUUGAACUCGCUGUGAAGAUGCAGUGUACCCGCGGCAAGACGGAAAGACCCCGUGAACCUUUACUAUAGCUUGACACUGAACAUUGAGCCUUGAUGUGUAGGAUAGGUGGGAGGCUUAGAAGUGUGGACGCCAGUCUGCAUGGAGCCGACCUUGAAAUACCACCCUUUAAUGUUUGAUGUUCUAACGUUGACCCGUAAUCCGGGUUGCGGACAGUGUCUGGUGGGUAGUUUGACUGGGGCGGUCUCCUCCUAAAGAGUAACGGAGGAGCACGAAGGUUGGCUAAUCCUGGUCGGACAUCAGGAGGUUAGUGCAAUGGCAUAAGCCAGCUUGACUGCGAGCGUGACGGCGCGAGCAGGUGCGAAAGCAGGUCAUAGUGAUCCGGUGGUUCUGAAUGGAAGGGCCAUCGCUCAACGGAUAAAAGGUACUCCGGGGAUAACAGGCUGAUACCGCCCAAGAGUUCAUAUCGACGGCGGUGUUUGGCACCUCGAUGUCGGCUCAUCACAUCCUGGGGCUGAAGUAGGUCCCAAGGGUAUGGCUGUUCGCCAUUUAAAGUGGUACGCGAGCUGGGUUUAGAACGUCGUGAGACAGUUCGGUCCCUAUCUGCCGUGGGCGCUGGAGAACUGAGGGGGGCUGCUCCUAGUACGAGAGGACCGGAGUGGACGCAUCACUGGUGUUCGGGUUGUCAUGCCAAUGGCACUGCCCGGUAGCUAAAUGCGGAAGAGAUAAGUGCUGAAAGCAUCUAAGCACGAAACUUGCC